GUUCCUGUAGCGCAAUGAACUGCGCGCGUUGAACUUCUAAUCCAAAGGUCGUGGGUUCGAAUACCACCAGGGAUG